CAAAUUGUCUCUAUGGGGCAGUUGAAAUCCCUGAGUGCUGAGCAACCCUCGACACUGUAAGGCAGCAAGAGCAAGAGAGAGGAGGAAGAAAAGGAUGAGUGAGGACAGCAUGAACUUUUAGAAAAGAUAGAAGUCAAAAGGACUGACAACCGUUAAAAAGCUCUUCUCUCCUUGGAACUGUUUUAUUCCUUUAUUCCAUGAGUGCUACAAGUGUGCUCAGGUCCUUCAGUCCGUCAGCAAUGCCUGGCCCAGUCAUGCCGAUGGACGUGGCAAUGAGAUUCUACAUCAGCCACUCUCCGCCUCCUCUCCGAGGUUUCCUCAGCUCCUACGAAGAGCUGCAGAGGACCAAGAAGAACCAGGCCAGCCAGUCGACCAGGCGGAGCCACAACCAGCAGCUCUACAAACCCCUGCGGCCCUGCCUCAGCAACCAGCAGAGAGCAGUGGACGAUGGCGGCUGCACUGGCUGGAACAACAGCAAGGCCGGCAAAAAGAAGGUGGUGUUCGCAGACACGAGGGGCAUGUCACUCACCGCCAUCCACGUCUUCUCCAAGUUCGACGAUGAGCCGUAUCAAAACAAGCCUUGCAGUGGAAUCAUCGAGGAGCUGCAGUUUGACAUGUCAGACCUGGAAACGGCCACGAAAGACCUAAAGGUCAGCUCGGUGCGCAACCUGGCGCUGGACUUUAAACAGCCUUCGGCCGACUACCUGGACUUCCGGAACCGCCUGAUUCAGAACUCGGUCUGCUUGGAGAACUGCUCGCUGCAGGAGCGCUCCCUAACCGGCACCAUCAAGGUCCGGAACAUGGGGUUUGAGAAGUCGGUGCAGUUGCGCGCCACCUUCGACUCAUGGGCAAGCUUCGAUGACAUCGAGUGCACCUUCAUGAACAACGUCUACAGCUGCCAGGAUACCGACACCUUUGCGUUCGUCGUGGAUCUACCCGCCUACAUCCCCCCACAGAAUAGUGUCGAGUUCUGUAUCUGCUUCAAAGCCCAGGGCCAGACCUUCUGGGACAAUAACGACGGCAAGAACUACGUUCUCAAGCAUGUCGGCUGGAACGGAGUGCACCUGAACACUCGGAUUCCCCCGACAUCUGUUGAGCAGAAAAAGCCUUCAGAGCACAAAAACGGGGUCGUGAAGGUGCUGGAGAUGGAGUUUGAUCAGUUUGGCAGCCCACGCAUGUCAAGUGGACUCUUUCCUGGCUGGCAGAGCUGGGGUCAGAUUGAUAACGCCGUGCCUUAUUGGUGAACACAUCAGGAUGUUUGCUGAAAAUAACAUUGAACUAAGAUAACAUACACUGACAGGGCAUUCAGUGCAAAUCCAGCUGUGGGUUUGAGCUUAGACUGGCUCUCAAAAUGAAAUUGAGCAAACAACCUUUGCUUCUUUCUUUUUUUUUUUAGCAGAGGAAGUGUACAAACCAAGACCUAAAUGGUCUGUGGUUGGAGGAUGGGGGAUAAAUGGGAAAAAUCUAUCUUGUUUCACAUAUUCCUCUUAUGUAACAUAUUAAUGUGCCUUCUCCAAAUUGUACAGCCCACAACAAAUGCUGAGCCCCUUUUGAGGGCCUGAUGUAUUGGCUAAAUAUGCACUGAUUGAAAUGUGUCUCUCAAUGUGAUGUAAACUGUAAACUGAAGAGGUGGAAAGUGGAGCUGAUUAAGUCCUUCAUAUUGAAGGGAAAGUACUGCGGAGUGCAUGGCAACAAAAUGCUUCUCUACUAAACGAAACACAGCUGAUUCAUUUCUAAAAUGAAAAAUGCACACUAAACUUUUGCACCUUCAAAUGAGAAAGUAAUUUAACAUUAUAAAAAGUAGCCUUUUUUCAUUUUUAAGUCAUGCAGCCCAUUCUUUCUUUCCCUCUGUGAAAAUUGCACAUGUCUGAUGAAAGAUGUUUGAAUGAUUGUAAUAUUAAGGUGAGUUUGUUAAGGAACUGAGCUGCUGUCAACAGAUGUGUCUCAAGAGAGACUGCACGUGAUUGGUUGUCUCGAACAAGGAGGACGUUUGGAAAUUUCGGUGGCUACCGUAUGUCGAGAAAGGUGUUUUUAUUCUGCGAUGAGUGUACAGUAUGUGUGGCUGGAAGGGAGAUUUUUCUUUGUUGAAGAAAAUCUAUUUUUUUCUCACUGUGAAAGAGAGGCCUGUGUUCCAGCAUUGUGUUUCACAUGAAGAUGUGGGUCAUGUAUUUCCCUUUCUGAAAUAAAUUUCUAUAUUUGUGCUAAAAUA